AGGCAAAGAUGCACGCCCAGGACU
rnacentral:siRNA from 1 species